AUGCUUGCUUUGGCAGCAUGUAUACUAAAAUUGGAAUAAUACAGAGAAGAUCAACAUGGCCUCUGUGGAAGGAUGACAUGUAAAUUCGUGAAGUGCUCCGUAUUUUA